rnacentral:rRNA from 1 species
GGGAGCUACCAUGCAAGUCGAGCGGUAGAGAGAAGCUUGCUUCUCUUGAGAGCGGCGGACGGGUGAGUAAUGCCUAGGAAUCUGCCUGGUAGUGGGGGAUAACGUUCGGAAACGGACGCUAAUACCGCAUACGUCCUACGGGAGAAAGCAGGGGACCUUCGGGCCUUGCGCUAUCAGAUGAGCCUAGGUCGGAUUAGCUAGUUGGUGGGGUAAUGGCUCACCAAGGCGACGAUCCGUAACUGGUCUGAGAGGAUGAUCAGUCACACUGGAACUGAGACACGGUCCAGACUCCUACGGGAGGCAGCAGUGGGGAAUAUUGGACAAUGGGCGAAAGCCUGAUCCAGCCAUGCCGCGUGUGUGAAGAAGGUCUUCGGAUUGUAAAGCACUUUAAGUUGGGAGGAAGGGUUGUAGAUUAAUACUCUGCAAUUUUGACGUUACCGACAGAAUAAGCACCGGCUAACUCUGUGCCAGCAGCCGCGGUAAUACAGAGGGUGCAAGCGUUAAUCGGAAUUACUGGGCGUAAAGCGCGCGUAGGUGGUUUGUUAAGUUGGAUGUGAAAUCCCCGGGCUCAACCUGGGAACUGCAUUCAAAACUGACUGACUAGAGUAUGGUAGAGGGUGGUGGAAUUUCCUGUGUAGCGGUGAAAUGCGUAGAUAUAGGAAGGAACACCAGUGGCGAAGGCGACCACCUGGACUAAUACUGACACUGAGGUGCGAAAGCGUGGGGAGCAACAGGAUUAGAUACCCUGGUAGUCCACGCCGUAAACGAUGUCAACUAGCCGUUGGAAGCCUUGAGCUUUUAGUGGCGCAGCUAACGCAUUAAGUUGACCGCCUGGGGAGUACGGCCGCAAGGUUAAAACUCAAAUGAAUUGACGGGGGCCCGCACAAGCGGUGGAGCAUGUGGGUUUAAUUCGAAGCAACGCGAGAACCUUACCAGGCCUUGACAUCCAAUUUAAUUAUUAGCAACGCGAAUAUCCUUACCAGGCGUUGACAUCCAAUGAAAUUUCCAGAGAUGGAUUGGUGCCUUCGGGAACAUUCGACAGGUUUGCAUGGCUGUCGUCAGCUCGUGUCGUGAGAUGUUGGGUUAAGUCCCGUAACGAGCGCAACCCUUGUCCUUAGUUCCCAGCACGUAAUGGUGGGCCCUCUAAGGAGACUCCCGGUGACAAACCGGAGGACGGUGGGGAUGAUGUCAAGUCAUCAUUCCCCUUACGGCCUAGGCUACACACCUGCUCCCAUGGUCGUUACACAGGGUCUACAAGCCCCGAGCCGGACAUAAUCCCAUAAAACCGAUCGUAGUCCGGAUCGCACUCUGCAACUCGAUUGCGUGAAGUCGGACUCGCUAGUAAUCGCGAAUCAGACUGUCGCGGUGAAUCCGUUCCCGGGCCUUCUACACCCCUCCCGUCACACCAUGCGAGUGGGUUGCACCAGAAGUAGCUAGUCUAACCACGCGA